GAUGAACGCUGACAGAAUGCUUAACACAUGCAAGUCGAUGGGGAAGUGGUGCUUGCACCAUGGCAACCCUGGCGGACGGGUGAGUAACGCGUAAGGGACUUACCUGCAGGACUGGGAUAACAGGGGGAAACUCCUGACAAGACCGGAUAAUGUCAUGGAGCUGCAUGGCUUUAUGAUGAAAGGAGACGCCUGCGGAGAGCCUUGCGUCCUAUUAGCUAGCUGGUGAGGUAAUGGCUCACCAAGGCGAAGAUAGGUAGCCGGCCUGAGAGGGUGGACGGCCACGAGGGGACUGAGAUACGGCCCUUACUCCUACGGGAGGCAGCAGUGGGGAAUAUUGGACAAUGGGGGCAACCCUGAUCCAGCAAUUCUGUGUGCACGAAGAAGGUUUUCGGAUUGUAAAGUGCUUUCAGCAGGGAAGAAGUAAGUGACGGUACCUGCAGAAGAAGCGACGGCUAAAUACGUG
rnacentral:rRNA from 1 species